GACGAACGCUGGCGGCGUGCUUAACACAUGCAAGUCGAACGAAGUGGCGCACGGGUGAGUAACGCGUAAUCAACCUGACCUUCAGAGGGGGAUAACAGUUGGCAACGACUGCUAAUACCGCAUACUGAAGGCGGGGAUUGCGUCUGAUUAGCUAGUUGGAGGGGUAACGGCCCACCACGGCGAUGAUCAGUAGCCGGUCUGAGAGGAUGAACGGCCACAUUGGGACUGGCACACGGCCCAGACUCCUACGGGAUGCAGCAGUGGGGAAUUUUGGACAAUGGGCGCAAGCCGGAUCCAGCCAUGCCGCGUGUCUGAAGAAGGCCUUCGGGUUGUAAAGGACUUUUGUCAGGGAAGCGGUACCUGAAGAAUAAGCACCGGCUAACUACGUGCCAGCAGCCGAGGUAAUC
rnacentral:rRNA from 1 species